rnacentral:rRNA from 1 species
CUGCCCACUGAAUAAUUUAAAUGGCUGCAGUAUAACUAACUGUACAAAGGUAGCAUAAUAAAUUGUUUUUUAAUUAAAAGCUAGAAUGAAAGAUUAAAUGAAAUAUAAACUAUAUAAAUUAAAUUAAAAAUUAAACUUAAAUUUUAAGUUAAAAUGCUUAAAUAAUUUUAAAAGACAAGAAGACCCUAUAGAAUUUUAUAUAAAUAUAUAAUUAAUAAAAUUAAUAUUAUUAAUUAUUAUAUAUAUUAUAUUUAAUUGGGGUAAUUUUAAAAUUUAAAAAAUUUUUAAAACAAAUACAUAAAUUAAUGACUAAAAAAUCCAAUAUUAUUGAUAUUAAAAUAAAUUACCUUAGGGAUAACAGCAUAAUUUUUUUUGAAAGACCACAUUAAUAAAAAAAUUUAUGACCUCGAUGUUGAAUUAAGAUUAAAUUAAAAGUAAAAAUUUAAUAAUUUAAGUCUGUUCGACUUUUAACUCUUACAU